rfam:Scleropages formosus scaffold12391, whole genome shotgun sequence.
GCUGUGAUGGCAGAGUGGUUAAGGUGUUGGACUUGAAAUCCACUGUGGUUACCCCGUGCAGGUUCAAGCCCUCCUUGCAGCA